CUCGCCUGAUACCCGGGCGGAGGGAGGGCGCAGUAGCAGGGCAGGGCAGGGCAGAGGAGGGACAGAACAGCCGCACCCAGCCAUCGCCGAGUGCAGAGCAGGCCAGCUUGGGGGGAGGGCCAGGCACAGUGCGGGUAAAGAAGGUGCCGGCGUCCGGUCCCGCAAGAGGGCGGGCUGGAGUGCGGGGGGAUGGGUGCGCCUUGCUCACGCUCCCAGGGUGGGAUGACCGAAGUGCUGGCGCCCAGGUUGUAAAGUGAGGCCCCCAACCCCGCAUCUAUGCUGGCAGUGGCCCGGAAACUACCGAUCCGGUUUAUUAAUAGCCGUCGGGGAAGAGGGACCCGCAGCAGCAGCAACUCCAUCCCAAGACUCUUACACUUUGCCAGGGAUGAAGAGCGACCCACAAUCGGAUCUGCACAUUUUUCCAAGAGAUCAGAUGUGACAAUGCGGUGAAGCAGCCAAAUUCCUGACUUUUGUCCAAGUCCCGCUACUCAGAGAUCCCAGGCCCCAGGCCCUGUGGCCUUUUGGCUGCCAAAGGGCCAGGACAGAGUGACAGUAGCAAACCAUCUUCCUAAUUGUCUUUUGAAUGAAACUGUGACUUGGUGUGACAAGGGCUGGACAGGAGUCAGUGACUUAUGGAGACAGAGCUCAGCCUGGGGAGCCCCCUUCCCAGGGCUUAUUAGCUCUGCUAGGUCAUAGCCCUUGUUUUCUUAUCUAGAAAAACUGGAAUCAUGUUACCUGCUCAACCUAUCAGGGGCUUUGGGAGAAUCAAUGGAAAGGAAAAUAUAGAGCCAAAAAAGCAUUAUAUAAAUUUCAAGCAUUAAAAUAAUCUCACCCCCCUCUUUACACACGUGGAGACUUGCAAACUUUUCCAGCCCCAGUUUCCUUAUCAAUAAAAUGGAGCUUAUCCCAUGGGCUGUGCCAGAUUUGUGGUGAAUAAGAUAAUAGAUGUACAAAUUAUUAUGUAAAUACAAAGUACUUUACAAAGAUGAAAUUGUACUUUAUGUAGGAUCUUAUCAUAGUCUAAAGGUGUUUAUGUGAAGAGUCAGAAACCUUAAAAUGUGGAAAUGGUCUAUGAUGAUCCACAGACCCCCCCCCCAUUGCUUCAGCAACCGGCAAGUACAAAAUAGUCCAGCUUGAUUUUAAGCCCUAUGUGCCAUGACAUACAAAAAACAUUGCAAGAAGUAAUCUCGGAAAAAACCACACACACAUCCAGUUUCCAACAACUGAUUCUCUAUAAAUUAAAACGUAUUUUGUCUCCCAUGGCAGACCCUCUGGAUAUUUUAAGUCCGUAUACCUCUGAUGAAAACUUGGUAUUCAAAUCUGAGUUACAAAAUGCCGGGAUCCUGCCUCUUUUCUUCCCAGUUUCAGCAAAGUGUGAUAAUGACUCGCAGAAAACGGAAAUUCAAGUGAUCUAGCAAAGGGAUCCCAGCAAAAAAAGCCCAGCUUGGGAGAAAGCCCCUAAUGCCUUCUUUUUGGCCUCCACUCCUCCCCGGUCUGUUUCCUUCCUUCUUCUGGUGUCGAGGUCACUCUCCAUCCCCCAGCUUCUUGACUCCUGUUCUUUCACAUUUCUUAAACACUAUAAGAAAAAGAUGGCUCAUGCACCUGCUUGCAAAACUUCCCAAACCGGGCCUUCUCGGCUCCCGCAGGGCCGGAAGAACAACUCACGCCCACCCGGGUAACUCCUGAACGGAAAGGUCCGGAGCCAGAGCUCCAGGCCCUUGGAAUCACCCCACCACCGCCCCUCCGGCUUCAGCCAAUCAAGGAAUAUUAUGCAAAUAAGCCUUCGUGCCCCAGCCAGUCAGGAGCCACGGCCCCCUCCCCCCAGCGUCCUCUUUCACCCCAGCAGAGCCGAAGUGGCGGCGGCGUCUCUGGCAACCGGAGCGCCGCCAAUUUUCCCCUCCACUUGCGCCUGGAAAAAAAAAAUUGGUUCCUUGGGGUCACCUGGGAGAGGAGCGGGCGGGUCUGACCCGGCCGGAGGCGAAGAGCCUCUGCGGUUGCCCUAGGCGCUUUCCCAGUUACAAUCCGGAACAGGCUGGAGAUGCUGAGCAACCUGCCCAGGCCUCAUUUUGCCUCUGGAAAACAGAAGUCGUCUGGUAAAUUUUGCCGCAAACAAACAAACAAAAGGAACACUGUGAUGAAUAUGAAAGGAAGUAUGCUGCGGUAGCCUGAAGCUUUAAAUCAGGAAUCUGUAGUACCGCCAGGACUGGAGACGCAAACUUCAGCCAAGCCCUAGGGAGAGGCCCACAUGACUAAGAACUGAUGUCUUCAAGCAACUAGUGAAGACCUGAGGCCCGUCAACAUCCAUAUGGGAAACAGACCCUUCCCAGUUGAGCCUCGAGCUAACGGCAGCCACAGCUGACACCUUGAUCAUAGCCUUGUGAGAGACCUGAACCGGAACGACCCAGCUCAGCUGGUGGUUCCUGACGUGCAGCAACUGUAAGGUAAUAAAUUUAUUGUUUACAGCUGCUAAGUUGGGGGAUCAUUUAUUACACACCAGUAGACAGAUACAAGCCCCCACCUGGUAGCCCCUCUUUCCUGGCAGCCUUCAGCAUGUCUCUAGUUCCUGACAUGUGACCCUAGCUUCUCGUCUCUGAGGACAGCUCUUCCCAUGUGCCCCCCGUCCUAAGGGUACUAGCACCUUUCUGCUGUGGCUGAUCUCUGUGUUGCCUUAUGGACCCCUCUUUGGCUUCUCACUCUUCUCUGACCCAUGUCACCAGCUGCUGGUAUUAACCCCCCUCUGUUUGAAAUACCUAGGGUGGUUUCUAGCAUUGCAGGGGAAAACAUUUCAUCUCCUAUGACGUGUAGGCUCAGUCGAGCCUUCACAAGUCUUAGAGAGAGAAAGAAAUUAGCGUGGGACGGAGAGUCCUGUAGGUCCUGGAAUCAGUCUUCAUGAAUAAAAUAGGUUAAGACAGAAAGCCACCCACUGAGCUACCAGAUAGCACAGCAACAGCUCUGUAAGAUGACAGAGUGACAGAGCAGCCCUUCUCACCAUUCCAGUCCACAGUGAGCAUUCUCGGGUACGGAGGGAGGGUGUGUGAGCCAGAGUGUGUAUUCCCCAGUGGCAGCGGCCAUCCUGGGGAUUCCCCUUUGCAGGGUCUCCCUGAGGCUACAGCAGGGCAAGGGGAGGUCUAAGGGCUGUGGACACGAUUGUGAUCAUAGAGGGCUGAGCCCACCUCUCUGGGGCUCGGACGGCUUCACUGAGGGCUCCAUCCUGCUUACGUCAUGUUCUGGCUGCUCUGGGGAUGGAGUUCAGCCCGCAGCGUGGUGAAGCAGUCUCUACAGACUGCUGGCGGGCUGGGGCACAGCAAAGGUGCUGUUUCCUCUACCCCUGGUGGACAAAGGAUCCGCUCUUUCCUAGACCGACCUGGGAAAACAGAAAAGAAACCUUUGGGCUUGCUUCCUCGUCUUUCAAUCCCUAGCUUGUUCGAGAGCAGGGGAUCUUGGCUGGGGAACUAUUUUCCUGGGAAAUUCUUUUUGCUUCCAGCCCCUAGCACCGUUACUGCCUCUUCUGGGUGGGAGCCCAAGAGUAAAGAGAGCAACAGAUGCAGCCCCUGGCAUCUUUUGGCCUCUCAGGGGCUCAGUGUCCUACACAACCAGCUGUUAUUCUCCAUCACACCCUGCAGCCCAGGAUUCGCUCUCCCCUGCUUCUGGAGGCUUUGCCCUUUCUCCCAUGUAGUUUCAUGGGCCAGCACCUUCAGACCCACCCUGCAGCUCUGACUGAGGAAUUGGCAGGUUCUUCUGACACAGUGAGCUCGGCCACUCUCCCCACUCCGCAGAGGUGAGGAAUUGCCUUGGACUCAUCAUGCCCCUCUCAGUGGUGCACACACCCAGCUGACAGAGGGACAGAGUGUUGGCAAUAGGCAAGUCUAAUGUCAGAAACCCUAUGUGGAAUUUGUUUCAGAGUGCACGGUCUGAACAGAAAGGGUGGACAAACAGGGAAAUUAGGAAUACAAUGGCUAGAAGGAUUAUAAGAUUGAUUUCACUCUAGCUGCAACCGUCAGCUGUUGGGGGAGUCUGAACCAAGGCCUCGUCUAGAGCCGGUGAGAAGUUACAAAGAACAAUGGCUCGUAAGAAAGCCAGCUCCCCGCCUCUACCGACCACUGCUGCUUUCUCUUGCUGGAAUAGAUUCACCGAGCAAUUCAGUAUUGACUCUAAUCAUUUACACCUUCGUUCAGUAUUAAUUUGGUACCCUGGAAUUGUUUAUUACUUUUCAAUCUGGGCUGGAUUCUGUGAGGCAUUGUGCUGAUUUCUUCGGGAUGUCAUCACCACAGGCUGUUGGGCAUGGGGCUUGGAUCCAAUGCAGGAUACAAGCUCAGAAACAAGGGAGUCCCUCAGUACCCACCAGUGUGUUUGAUGGUUAUUACUCGUGUGAUGAUGGGGAGGAACGGACAUUAUGCAGCCUCUCAGGGCUCUGUCAGUGAAUUACAGGUCACUUUGUCCUUUCGCCUGUUAGCACAUCCAUAAAUUACAGCACAGCCUGGGCAGAGCUCAGAUGGCAAACUACCAUUUAAAAAAAAAUCUUUUCUAGUGCCUUUAAUUUGGGGGCCACAAAUCAAUUAGGUUACCAGUCAUCAGAAACACUUAAUGAGUUGAGAAACAGGAACCAUCUCCAUUUUGUGGAGGAAGAAGACUUGAGGACACACAGUACUGAAUGUGGAAACGGAUGGGGGUUUGGGAAGGACCUGUUCCCCUCAGUGGCAACACGCACAUUUUGUCCGGCACAUUAAAGGAAAACUGGGUUUAGGUUCUAUUGAGGUAUUUGAAAAGGAGAGAGCUCCUUCAAUGUAUUAGUUAUGCUUUUGGCUGCAACUAACAUUGCUUCAACACAAGGAUGCUUCUUAUUUAAUAUACAAAAAAAAAAUCCAGAGGUGGGUGGGAUCAGGGUCAGUUCAGUGGCUCCACAAUGGCACCAAGGACCCUGACUCCCUCCAGCUUCUGCUCUGCCUUCCUUGGGGUAUUAGCUAGGUACCUAGGCUCAUCCCCUCAGGGUUGCAAAGUGGCUGUCAUGGUCCCAAGCAUUGAGUGCAAACACAGCAAUGUCCAACUGAAGAAAAGAUGUUUCUACUCAUGAAGUAUUUCUUAUUAGGGAGGAAGUCCUCCCCAGAAGUCCCCUUCCUCACUUAUCAUUGGCCAGAAUUGGGUCACACGUCUGUGCCUUAGCUACAAAGGAGGCUGGAAAGUGAGAAGCUGGCAUUUUCAGUCUCUGGGUUGGGAGGUUCUCUGCCAUCAAGAAAGGAGGAGGAGAUGGCCUUCGUGCUUAUAAUCAGCAGUGCCUUCUACACUUAGAUUCAUUUUCAUUGAGUGCGUAGCACGGGCUUAGCACGCUGUUAGGCACCUUCACCUGCAUUACAUUAUUUCCCUAAUUAAGCUGUAAGAAAGUUAGGAUGGUCAGUAAAUUACCUGUUGGGGUCUGAGAAACCACUUGUUCAUCUAGUUAUCUCUGAAGCCCUGAGCUGUUCAUUGGCAAAUAAGAAUACUACCCAACUGAUUCUAAUAACCAAGUGAACUGAAAAUCAGUAUUAGAAAGACUGAAAAAUUCCAUCAACGUGGGUUCAAACAAUCUGGAUUGUUGAGACUUGGAUUUUCUUUGUUUCUAGCAGGGAGUUAACCUAAGGAGACUGAACAGGCCACUCGUAACAUCCAGAGUAAAAGUCACAAGCUAAAAGUUCUUAAUUCUAGUUCUUUUAAGUUGGGGAAGAACCAAAAUUGGCCACAGAUCUAGACCCACUACAAGGAAUGGCUCAGAAAUAAGGAUCCCAAGUACUACAAUUUAUUAGCUUAGGCCAACCCCAUUGGCUGGGCUUAUUUAUUUGAGGCCAGGGAGAAUACAUUGCUGUUCACCUGUGUUUUGCAUUGGAGUUUCUGUCAACAAGUAAUCAAGUCUCUCCAGAUGUUUCACUUGCUAUAACAAAGCUACUGUCACGAACAAUAACACACAGAUGUUCCCUUUGAAAAGCAGAUUAAAAAUGUUUUUGUUAAUGUUUCAAAUUAUCAAAUGAAUUGUGAAGAAUACGGAUGCAGAAUUGGUUGCCAGAAUAUCUCCUUGAAACUGGAUUUUUAAAAAAUUAAUUAACUAUAACCUCUUUAGGUAAGAUUAACCAAACUUCAACAAAUAAAGGAGAAAAAUAAACAGUGUUUUUUGUCAAGUAGGAUUCAAGUGGUUAGAGAUUAUGAAAUUUGCUUUUCACAGAAGGAUUUUAUUUCUGUUGGUUUCAUUUCCUUUUC